UUGUAAAAUAAGACAUUUGUAGC
rnacentral:piRNA from 1 species